rnacentral:rRNA from 1 species
ACUCCAUGAAGUCGGAAUCGCUAGUAAUCGUGGAUCAGAAUGCCACGGUGAAUACGUUCCCGGGCCUUGUACACACCGCCCGUCACACCAUGGGAGUGGGUUGCAAAAGAAGUAGGUAGCUUAACCUCCGGGAGGGCGCUUACCACUUUGUGAUUCAUGACUGGGGUGAAGUCGUAACAAGGUAACCGUAGGGGAACCUGCGGUUGGAUCACCUCCUUACCUGAAAGAAGC